CUGGGGCACUCCGCCCUCAUCCGUUUGCGGACGUGUUUCUCCAGGGGUUUGUGGAUCCAAAAAUGCAUGAACCUGAAGAGAUGGUCAGACGGGGCCCAUUCCCCAGAGUGAAGGUGCCUUAUGUUCCUAGGGUCGAACAUUCUCUGACCCGUAGCGUCCAGAAAUAUCUCCUGUUCUUGCGUAGCGGAUGUAGCAGACGAAUCCGCAUCCCCUGUACACUGGGGUUCACCCAGGAAGGUCUCCCCAAUCGCCUUCAUCGGAGUCUGAGACCUCUGCCUGCCACCCGUCCAGGAUGGAGUGGGGCAUAUCCUUGUCCUUGUGCGAGGAAAUCUCCUGAGUAUAUGU